AUUGAACGCUGGCGGCAUGCCUUACACAUGCAAGUCGAACGGCAGCACGGGAGCUUGCUCCUGGUGGCGAGUGGCGAACGGGUGAGUAAUACAUCGGAACGUACCCAGUAGUGGGGGCUAACGCACCGAAAGGUGCGCUAAUACCGCAUACGACCUACGGGUGAAAGCGGGGGACCGUAAGGCCCCGCGGUAUUGUAGCGGCCGAUGUCUGAUUAGCUAGUUGGUGAGGUAAAGGCUCACCAAGGCUUCGAUCAGUAGCUGGUCUGAGAGGACGAUCAGCCACACUGGGACUGAGACACGGCCCAGACUCCUACGGGAGGCAGCAGUGGGGAAUUUUGGACAAUGGGCGAAAGCCUGAUCCAGCAAUGCCGCGUGUGCGAAGAAGGCCUUCGGGUUGUAAAGCACUCUUGUCAGGGAAGAAAUCUUUUAGGCUAAUACCCUGGAAGGAUGACGGUACCUGAAGAAUAAGCACCGGCUAACUACGUGCCAGCCGCCGCAGUAA
rnacentral:rRNA from 1 species